AUACGGAGGGUGCAAGCGUUAAUCGGAAUUACUGGGCGUAAAGGGUGCGCAGGCGGGAUUUUAAGUCAGCGGUGAAAUUUUCAGGCUCAACCUGAACACUGCCGUUGAAACUGGGAUUCUUGAGUAUGGAUGAAGUAGGCGGAAUUCGUUGUGUAGCGGUGACAUGCUUAGAUAUAACGAGGAACUCCGAUUGCGUAGGCAGCUUACUAAGCCAUAACUGACGCUCAAGCACGAAAGCGUGGGGAUCAAACAGGAUUAGAUACCCUGGUAGUCCACGCCGUAAACGAUGAUUACUAGUUGUUUGCGAUAUACCGUAAGUGACUAAGCGAAAGCGAUAAGUAAUCCACCUGGGGAGUACGCCGGCAACGGUGAA
rnacentral:rRNA from 1 species